rnacentral:lncRNA from 1 species
AAAAAAAAAAAAAAGUAAGUUCCUUUGGCUCCUCCUUCUGGGUCUGUCCCCUCUCCCCCAGCAGCAGACAUGGCGCUGUCCAUUUCUGGAAGGUUCAGGCCAGGAAGGACACAGGUGUCACCUUGCCCAGAGGUGACCAAAGGUUCUUCGGCUGUGGGCUGGUUCUGCAAAUGAAACCUUAGGGGUGAUGGUCGGUGUAUAACGCUAAGACCAGAGCUGCAAUGGCUCUGAUUCUCCGCCAUAGAGUGCCAGGGCUCUGGGAGGAGCAUUUGAAAACCACAUAUCUCAUGCCCAAUCCUCAUUUUACAGUGGCCCAGAGCAGGAAAACCAAAGGUAUAAGGUUGGGACCAGAGGAAAAGCUGUCACACACAUGCAGAAACCACGGCCCAGGGAAGACGCAGCUUGAGCAAGGUCACCGGCAGUUUCCUUUGCAGUAAAAUGGGAAUAAAAAGAAAAUCUACGUAACAGUAGAUAUUCUGUGAGGAUUACGUGAAUUCAUAUUUGAAGAGUGAGUAGAAGGGUUCCUGGCACAAGCUCUACAAGUGUGGCUGGAAUGAAUAUGAUGAUGAGGAUGAAGAUGAGGAUGGCGGGGCUGGAGCUCAAGUGCCAUACUGUGUCCUGGAGCAGAAGCCACGUGUUGAGGACAGUCUGGACCCUUAACGAGGGUUGAGCCACGACACCAGCCUGUGACUGUUUACCUCUUGAGUUUGUUUACAGGAGAAGAAAAUAAACUCUCACCUUGUUUAACACA